rnacentral:rRNA from 1 species
GAUGAACGCUGGCGGCGUGCCUAAUACAUGCAAGUCGAGCGAACAGACGAGGAGCUUGCUCCUCUGACGUUAGCGGCGGACGGGUGAGUAACACGUGGAUAACCUACCUAUAAGACUGGGAUAACUUCGGGAAACCGGAGCUAAUACCGUAUAACAUGUUGAACCGCAUGGUUCAACAGUGAAAGACGGUCUUGCUGUCACUUCUAGAUGCAUCCGCGCUGCAUGAGCUAGUUGGUAAGGUAAAGGCUUACCAAGGCAACGAUGCGUAGCCGACCUGAGAGGGUGAUCGGCCACACGGGAACUGAGACACGGUCCAGACUCCUGCGGGAGGCAGCAGUAGGGAAUCGUCCGCAAUGGGCGAAAGCCUGACGGAGCAACGCCGCGUGAGUGAAGAAGGUCUUCGGAUCGUAAAACUCUGUUAUUAGGGAAGAACAAAUGUGUAAGUAACUAUGCACGUCUUGACGGUACCUAAUCAGAAAGCCACGGCUAACUACGUG